rnacentral:rRNA from 1 species
UACGUAGGUGGCAAGCGUUGUCCGGAUUUAUUGGGCGUAAAGCGAGCGCAGGCGGUUCCUUAAGUUUGAUGUGAAAGCCCCCGGCUCAACCGGGGAAGGUCAUUGGAAACUGGGGAACUUGAGUACAGAAGAGGAAUGUGGAACUCCAUGUGUAGCGGUGAAAUGCGCAGAGAUAUGGAGGAACACCAGUGGCGAAGGCGGCUCUCUGGUCUGCAACUGACGCUGAUGUGCGAAAGCGUGGGGAUCAAACAGG